UGGGGGAUAUUGCACAAUGGAGGAAACUCUGAUGCAGCAACGCCGCGUGAAGGAUGAAGGUCUUCGGAUUGUAAACUUUUGUACUUGGGGACGAUAAUGACGGUACCCAAGCAGCAAGCUCCGGCUAACUACGUGCCAGCAGCCGCGGUAAUACGUAGGGAGCAAGCGUUGUCCGGAUUUACUGGGUGUAAAGGGUGCGUAGGCGGCUAUGCAAGUCAGUUGUGAAAACUAUGGGCUCAACCCAUAGCCUGCAAUUGAAACUGCGUGGCUUGAGUGAAGUAGAGGUAGGUGGAAUUCCCGGUGUAGCGGUGAAAUGCGUAGAGAUCGGGAGGAACACCAGUGGCGAAGGC
rnacentral:rRNA from 1 species